UGCCCACUGAUUUAUUAAAGGGCUGCAGUAAUUUGACUGUACAAAGGUAGCAUAAUCAUUAGUCACUUAAUUGGUGACUUGUAUGAAGGAUUGGAUGAAAUAUAAACUGUCUUUAUAAUAAGAUAUAUAAUUUAAUUUUUUAAUUAAAAAGUUAAAAUAAUUUAAAAAGACGAGAAGACCCUAUAGAGUUUUAUUUAUUAGUUAAUUGAUAUUAUUUAUAAAAUUAAAAUUUAAAUUAAUUAAUAAAUUUUAUUGGGGUGAUAAAAAAAUUAAAUUAACUUUUUUUUUAAGUAAAUUACCAUAAAUAAGUGAUUAAAUGAUCCAUUAAUAAUGAUUAUAAGAAAAAAUUACCUUAGGGAUAACAGCGUAAUUUUUUUUUUUAGUUCAAAUAAAAAGAAGAGUUUGCGACCUCGAUGUUGGAUUAAGAUAAAAUUUAAAUGUAGAAGUUUAAAAUUUUGA
rnacentral:rRNA from 1 species